rnacentral:rRNA from 1 species
AUACGUAGGGUGCAAGCGUUAAUCGGAAUUACUGGGCGUAAAGCGUGCGCAGGCGGUUUUGUAAGACAGAGGUGAAAUCCCCGGGCUCAAACUGGGAACUGCCUUUGUGACUGCAAGGCUCGAGUUCGGCAGAGGGGGAUGGAAUUUCGCGUGUAGACGGGAAAUGCGUAGAUAUGCGGAGGAACACCGAUGGCGAAGGCAAUCCCCUGGGCCUGUACUGACGCUCAUGCACGAAAGCGUGGGGAGCAAACAGGAUUAGAUACCCUGGUAGUCCACGCCCUAAACGAUGUCAACUGGUUGUUGGGUCUUCAUUGACUCAGUAACGAAGCUAACGCGUGAAGUUGACCGCCUGGGGAGUACGGCCGCAAGGUUGAAACUUAAAGGAAUUGACGGGG